rnacentral:rRNA from 1 species
UAGGGAAUCUUCGGCAAUGGACGAAAGUCUGACCGAGCAACGCCGCGUGAGUGAAGAAGGUUUUCGUAUCGUAAAACUCUGUUGUUAGAGAAGAACAAGGACGUUAGUAACUGAACGUCCCCUGACGGUAUCUAACCAGAAAGCCACGGCUAACUACGUGCCAGCAGCCGCGGUAAUACGUAGGUGGCAAGCGUUGUCCGGAUUUAUUGGGCGUAAAGCGAGCGCAGGCGGUUUCUUAAGUCUGAUGUGAAAGCCCCCGGCUCAACCGGGGAGGGUCAUUGGAAACUGGGGGACUUGAGUGAAGAAGAGGGGAGUGGAAUUCCAUGUGUAGCGGUGAAAUGCGUAGAUAUAUGGAGGAACACCAGUGGCGAAGGCGGCUCUCUGGUCUGUAACUGACGCUGAGGCUCGAAAGCGUGGGGAGCAAACAGG